GAUUUCUGACGAAACUGCUAGCUGGCCCGUCACGUCAGUGAUGUGUGCCGGCUUGGCGUUUGUCAUCCGUUCGAAUGAUAUGCGCGCUGCCCUUCACUGGGUUGGUGCUGCAUGUUUUCGAUCUUUUACUUUGAAAAAAUUAGAGUGUUUAAAGCAGGCUUUUUGCUAUGAAUACAUUAGCAUGGAAUAAUAAUUUAGGACUUUGGCCCUAUUUUGUUGGUUUCUAGGACUGAAGUAAUGAUUGAUAGGGAUAGUUGGGGGUGCUCGAAUUCAGCGGCCAGAGGUGAAAUUCUUGGAUUCGCUGAAGACGAACUCAUGCGAAAGCAUU
rnacentral:rRNA from 1 species